rnacentral:rRNA from 1 species
UACGUAGGGGGCAAGCGUUGUCCGGAAUCAUUGGGCGUAAAGGGCGCGUAGGCGGGCAAGCAAGUCAGGGGUGAAAUCCCACGGCUCAACCGUGGAAGUGCCUUUGAUACUGCUUGUCUGGAGGGAGAUAGGGGCGUGCGGAACUUCCGGUGGAGCGGUGAAAUGCGUAGAUAUCGGAAGGAACACCGGUGGCGAAAGCGGCGCGCUGGAUCUCUACUGACGCUGAGGCGCGAAAGCCAGGGGAGCAAACGGG